AACGCAGCGAAGGGCGAUAAGUAAUGUGAAUUGCAGAUACAGUGAAUCAUCGAAUCUUUGAACGCAAAUGGCACUCUAUGGUAUUCCGUAGAGUACGUCUGUUUGAGCGUCGCGAACAUCUCCAUAAUUAGUUUUUCUAAUUAAGGGUUUUGAGGUUGUCAUUGUAUAGUGACUCCCUUUAAAAUAAUUAGUGAUGACCUUAUGAAUGGGUUAAUACUGUGUGUUAUAAUGGAUUACAUCCAUCACCAGUCAGAGAGUAAUCUCGCCUUAGUAAUUUGUAGUGAUUGCUUCUAAUCGCCUUUAUUGGCAAAUUAAAUGAUCAAAUCGACCUCGGAUCAGGUAGGGAUACCCGCUGAACUUAA
rnacentral:rRNA from 1 species